rnacentral:rRNA from 1 species
GUCAAAUCAGCAUGGCCUUGAUGUCCGGGGCGACACACACGCUACAAUGGCCGGUACAAUGCGUAGCCAAACCGCGAGGUGGAGCCAAUCCCAUAAAACCGAUCGUAGUCCGGAUUGGAGUCUGCAACUCGACUCCAUGAAGUCGGAAUCGCUAGUAAUCGCAGAUCAGCAUUGCUGCGGUGAAUACGUUCCCGGGCCUU